rnacentral:piRNA from 1 species
UUUGGUAGGUUCAGAGUUCACAUGAGCAUGGU